UAUAUAUAUGCAUAUUAUAUUAUAUCCAUAUAUUAUAUGCAUAUUAUAUAUAUACAUUUUUAAACUGUGGAUCAUUGUCCAACUUUUUUGGUUUGUUUCUGCAGUGCUAGGCUUGGGACCCAGGGCCUUACAUGUGCUGGGCAAGCCCUCUACUCCCAAUCUGCACCCUCUACCCUAUCCAACCUUUUAUAUGGGUUCAUAGCCUCUCAUAAACCAAAAACUAAAUUUUUCAUACUUAUUUUACUGGUGAUUUAAAAAAAAAAAAAUAGACCUAGGCUGGAGGUAUAGUUUAGUGGUGUGUGUUUAGCAUGCAUAAGGCCCUGGGUUUCAUCCCCAGCACCAGCUUCUCCCCAAAAAGGAAAAAUCAACUAUUAGCUUACUGGCCAUGCAAAGAAUAAUAGUGAAAAAAAUUUUGUUGACCUUUUCUUUCUUUCAGUGUUUUUCUUUUCUUUCUAUUUUAUUUAUUUAUUUAUUUACUUUUUGGUUCCAAAGAUCGAACUCGGGACUUUGCACUUGCAAGGCAGGUGGCGGAACCACUGAGCUAAAUACCUGGCCCUUAUUUGGCUUUUUGAGACAGGGUCUCACUAUGUAGUUCAGGCUGACUAUGUAAUCCAGGCUAGCCUUGAACUCAUGGCAAUCCUGCCUCAGCCUCCUGAGUGCUGGGGUUAAGGCAUGCACCACCACAUCUGGCUUAAUUUUUUGUUUUUGUUUAUUUUGGUACAGGGGAUUACAUCCAGGACCUUUACACUGAGCUACAUCCCCAGUGCCCCAUUUGUUUAUAGUGUAUGCGUGUGUGUGUGUGUGUGUGUGUGCAUGUAUUUGUGUUUCUGAAGAUUGAACCCCAUAGCCUUCACACUAAGCUACAACCCCAGCCCUUUCUAUUUAUUUUAUUUUUAUUUUGACACAGGGGCUUGCUGUCAGUAAGUUGCCAAAGUUAGUUUUGAACCUGCCAUCCUCCUGCUUCAGCCUCCCAGAGAACUAGGAUUACAGACUUAUGCCACCAUGCCUGGCUUUUUUAAAAUCAUUUUGAAGAAAGGGAAUGAUUCUUAGGUUUUAUUUUGUUUGGUUUGGAUUUUUUUUUUUUUUUUUUUUUUUUUUUUUUUUGGUUUGGUUUUUGAGACAGACUCUCACUAUGUAGUUCAGGCUGGCUUUGAGCUCACUAUGUAGCUUAGGCUGGCCUCAAGCUCUCAGCAAGCCUCCUGCCUCAGCCUCCUGAGUGCUGGGAUUUCAGGUGUGUGCCACCAGUCUCCGUUUUUUUGUUGUUUUUUUUUAAGCUUUUAUUAGCACACUUUAAAAUAUAUUCUUUGGCUACUUUCAAGCUUGAGUGGCUAGUCAUGCCAGACACCUCUUGGCUGCAGCACGUAAAAUAUUUACUAUGUAACCAGUUGUGGAAAAAGUUACUUGACUCCAGAUCUCCGUACUUUAUUCGACAUCGCUCACGAACAUUUAUUGUCCUUUCAGACUGUGAUGGCACAUAAUGCUGCAAUGAAUAACUAGCCGUGCGUGGUUUUCCACAUAUCCCACAUGUAAGCUAAAUCCUAGAAAUGGAAUAUGUGAGCCUAAAGACGCGUGUUUGUAAUUUGGAUAGAAUUCGUAAAUUUAUCUCCAAAGAGAUUAUAUCAAUCCACGUAGACUCCCAGCAGCGAUCGGUUUCUCAACACUUGUGCUGACGGAUUAUGCCACCAGAUUUUUCAAUCUUUGUCAAACUGGAAGGCUCUAAUGGCUUGGCAAUAUAAUUUUCAUUCUUGUUUCUCUUUUGUUUGCUUAUCAGUUUCCUAAGACUGCAUGACAAACUUCCACAAAUUUGGGGCCUUUAAACAACAGAAAUUGGUCCUUUCCUCGUUCUGGAGGCCAGAAGCUGGAAAUCAAAGCCCCCAAGGCUGCGUCCUCUUCCAGGCUCCAGGGAGGAUCCUGCCCUGCCCACUUCCGCUUUCCUGCGGUCGCAGGCGCUUGUUCUCCGCUUCUGGGGCCCCUGCCAUCUCUGCUCCGUCUUUCUCUGCUCCGUCUUUCUCUGCUCCGUCUUCCCCUGCCCCGUCUUCCCCUGCCCGCUCCCCUUGGGUCAGUGUCAAGAGUCCAGAUGCGGGCCGGGGAUUUAGUUCAGUGGUUCCGGCGCCUGCCUCGAAAGUGCAAGGACCCGAGUUUGAUCCCUGGUACCAAAAAAAAAAAAAAAAGAGUCCAGAUGUCCUUCUGCUCACAAGGACCCCAAGCCUGCUGGGUUCCGGGCUCAUCCUAGUUCGAUAUGAUUCCUCUCCAGGUUCUCAGUGGAUGCGGACCUCGGAAAGAUAUCGGGGCUCAUCUGAGAGCGAGAAGUCUUCAUUCUCCCAGGUCUGCGUUUCCUUCCAGCCCCUCAUGCAACUCACAUAAAAAUAGGGGCUCGGAGAGAUUCGAUCCUGCGCACCAUACAGCGAGUGGCCUGAUGUUACCCAUGACUGAAUUGCAUCUGCAGAAAGCAAGUUUGGACAUCUAAAAAGGGCCAUUUGGGGCGGGGGAUUUGGCUCAGUGGUUCCCCCACAGCCUGCCUCCCAAGCAUGAGGUCCAGAGUUCGAUCCCCGGUACCAAAAAAAAGAAAAUAAAAAGGGCCACGUAUCUGUUGAAUUGAACUGAGAUGUGAGAAAUUUCGCUGUAAACUAAUAACUAUUGUUAUUAUUCUAUAAUAUUUUGAGUGUUUACUAAGGGCUCUUUUCUAAGCCUUUAAGGUACAUUAUUCAGUUAAGCUUUUACAAAUAAAGAAACUGAGGUUCAAGGAUAUCCAGCUAGGAAGUGGCAAAGGCAAGAUUUGCAUCCAGGGCCCCCCCCAAAAAAUUUAAAAAUUAAGUAGCUGGGCCUGGGGGGGGGGUCCACGCCUAUAAUCUGAGUACUCUGGGAGGCCAAAGCAAGAGGAUCGCUGAGAGUUGGAGGCCAGCCUGAAUUACAGAGCAAGACCCUGUCUCAAAACAGCAAACCAAAAAAAAAAAAAUUAAAGAAAAAAGAAAAAAAGAUUUGUACCCAGCAAACUGACUCCAGGCCACUCUGUUAACCUUUAUAAAUAAACUUAAAAUAGAGAGAGGAAGUCUCCCAUAUUAGAACUUAACAUUUGUUCCCCUUCCUCUGUUAGAUUUUUAAAUAUUACACAUCAAAUACGACAUACUACUCAGCUCCUGAUUUCAAAGUUUCUUCCUAUUAAGGACUGGUUAUCACCCCGAUCUUUUUUCUUCUUUCUUUUUCUCUGUGCUCUACUUCCUCAACACUCUUCCUUUAACCCAAGUGGCUGUCUCAGACCAGGAAGAUUAAGAAGCCAUGAAUAACUCUUCUGUAAAUUAUUCUACAGGAAGUUCAGCCUGAUCCAAUCCAGCUUGUCAGUGGUGAAGGCUUUGUCAGGGGUUUCUCAGCAGAGCAGGACUGGGUCAGCUCCUGCUGGCCCCCUCCUUGUGCAAGAGACCCUGCAGGAAGUGCUUAAACCGCAAUCUUAAACCAUGAGUCAUUGAUCAACUCCCCUACUUUUUUAUUUUGAGGCAAAGCCUCACUACAUUGUUAAAUUGCCAAGACUGGGCUGGAACUUGAGGUCUUCCUACCUCAGUCUCCCGGAGUGCUGGGAUUACAGGUGUCCACCACCAUGCUAGACUCCUAUUUUUUGUUUGUUUAUUUAUUUUAUUUGUUUUGUGUUUUUUGGAGACAGGGUCUCACUGUGUAGUUCAGGCUGGCUUUGAACUCACUAUGUGGCCCAGGCUGGCCUCAAACUCAUAUCAAUCUUCCUGCCUCAGCCUCCCGAGUGCUGGGAUUACAGGUAUGUGCCACCACACCUGGCUCCAAAUUUUUAUAUUCCAUUAUUAUUUUUUUAAUUGUUCCCAGGGAAUAACUCCAGGGCCUCAUACAUGCUGGGCAAGCACUCUACCACUGAGGUAUACCGCAAAGCCCACUAUAUAUUACUUUUUUUUUCUUUCAGUACCGGGGAUUGAACUCAGGUCCUUGCGCUUUUGAGGCAGGCAGCAUAACCACUGAGCUAAAUCCUCAGCCCCUAACUAUAUAUUACUGAAUCUCUGCUGUGUGAUGGGAGGAAAAAAGGGAGGAGAGCAGUUUUCCAGUGCUUCCUAGUGUGAGUACUGUGUUAACGAUGUGUGCUGAGCUGCAGCCACAGUGCCUAUAAAUGAAGGAGUCCUGCAGGCCGGAGUGACUCUGCCCCUUCCCACCAGUGUGACUCUGAGAAGUCCCUUAACUUCUCUGUGCCUCAGUUUCCCCAUUAGUAAGGAGCAAAAUAAUAACUCUGCAUAUGUGCAUGAUACACAGUGUUGUUUUAUAUGUUACAAAAUCACAUACAGUGCAUAUACAUAUGUACAUGUAUGUAAUAUGUACCAGUAAGCAGAACAUGUAAUGUGUACACGUGCAGCAUAUAUAUUUAUAGUAAAUAGUAACAUAUAAGGACUAUUGUGGUUUUUAUUCUUUUUUUAUUAGUAUGUGUUUGCAAUCCAAAAUAAUUACGUUCAUCUUGGGGAAAUGGUACAUGCAUAUAUCAAAAUGAUUGUGUUGAUAUUUAACCAUUUCAGUAUUGUAUUCCAAUAUAUAAUGACUAUUAUGCUGCAGUAUUUUUCUAUUAUAUAAUAGAUAUUUAUAUAUUAGAAAACAUAAUACAAAAUACAAUAUACCUAAUAAUAAGAUAGAUAAAUAUCUGUCAUAUUAAAUAUGUAAACCUUGUAGUAUCUGCCAUAGAGCAAUGACAGUUAAUGUUUCUUCUUCUCAUUAUUAGCCAUUCUUUGUGUUUUUUUUUUUUUUUGGUACUGGGGAUUGAACUCAGGUCCUUGUGCUUGCGCAGCAGGCGGCGAAACCACUGAGCUAAAUCCCCAGCCUCUUCUCAUUAUUAUCGUGGUAGUUUUAUUUUAUUUGUUUUGCUGAGCCAGGAAUUGAACUCAGGACCUUGCACUUGCAAGGCAGGCACAGUGCCACUGAGCUAAAUCCCCAGCCCUUCUUCUCAUUAUUAUCAUUAGCACUGACAGACCAGAGUGCCCUAACCUCACUAACUACCCCAUGCUGCUGGAAAUGGACCCUCACACUUGGAGAAGUCCUGGUCCCAGCUGUAAUCCUUAUAUAGCUUUUUUUUUUUUCAGAGACAGGGUCUCACUUUUUAACUUAUUAUGUACCCAGACUAGCUUUGAACUUGCAGCAAUCCUCUUGCCUCAGCUUCCCAAGUGCUACGAAUUAUAUGUGUGCACUACCAUCCACAGCUCAAAUAAAAAAAUUUUUUCAAAUAAAAAUAUUUUUAGGGCCGGGGAUUUAGCUCAGUGGUUCCAGUGCCUGCUUCACAAGGGAAAAGUUCUGAGUUCGAUCCCCGGUACCAAAAAAAAAAAAAAUUGAUUCCAAAAAUAUUUUUUAAAGGGAUGGGGAUGUAGCUCAGUGUGAAGGCUCUGGGUUCAAUUCCAAACACCAAACGAAAAAGAAUAAUAAGAAGAAAAUAAAACAGCCUUGACCACAAUUUCCAGUCUCACGCACCUCCCUAGAAAUAACUACUUUUGAAAACUUGAGGUAACUCUUUCUAGAAUUCUUUGUAUGCAUUUACACAGAUGUAUAUGUAAUCAUAAAAAGUAUAUAGGAAUCCCUGUAAUCCCAGCAAUUGGGAGGCUAAGUCAGGAGGAUUGCCAUGAGUUCAAGGCCAGCCUGAGCUCCAUAGUGAGUUCAAGGCCAGCCUGUACUACAUAGUGAGACCCUGUCUCAAGAAACAAACAAACAAACAAAAACCCCUAUAACAUCAUAGCCCACACUUUUGCACACACCUGUAAUUCCAGCAUUUAGGCAGCUGAGACAGAUUGAGAAUUUCAGGCCAGCCUGAGCUGCAAAGAAACCCUGUUCCGAAACAAAAACCAUAACAUUGUAAUCCAGUGUCACAUAACAUAACAAUGACAAAAGAAACAAAGUGGCAAAUGCUUGGGUUUGCCAGUCACGGGUUCCUGGGCCCAAACUUGCCUCUUUCCUGGGAGGAACACAGCUUCCCACAGGAGGACGAUCAACCCUCCAGCUGCUGAGUUUCAGGAAGUGGCUCCCAGGUCACAAGAGCCCCUGUCAGGGCAUUAGCACUUGUUCGCACUCUCUCCAGCGCACAGCCAGGAACCUACUAAUUCCCUCUUUCAUUAAGGCCAAUCAUCAUCAUCAUUAAUUAACAGCCACUGUGGAAAUGUAAGAGAGGGUUCUGAAUCAAAGAUAGAAACCAGUAGAAGGAAACAAUCCCAGCUGGCUCAGAACCCUGCGGGCCAGGAACACAGGCCCAUGGACCAUGAGAGGACAGGAGGAUGUGUGGGACCCGAGGAAAGGCGAGGGACCUCCCUCUCCGUGCUGCAUGUGGGAUGGGCUGACCCGUGUCUAAGACUGUCGCUGACUGCGUGCGAUAUUCUACCGUUUUCCCCAGGCUAUUCUGCUUUUGCCAUUAAAAAAUAGUUCAAUUUGUUCUCUUGUCUGGAAAACAAUGGUGUACUGACAUCAGUUUAUAUAUAUGGUAUAUCGCCAAUUCCACCCAUGGCAUUGUUCUGGCCUCACUGUUGGGACAUCAGGGGUCCUAGGAAGCAACAUCCUCUUCCUCACUUGAACUCAGGGUAGACUGAAAAGUCCCCAGUGAAGUUGAUUAGAUUCUGUGGCUUUCCAUGAGUGGAAAAGAAGCUCGUCACCACCCUGGGUGUGGGUGACCUCAUUCACCACGUGAACGACCCAGUGAGAAGCCCUUGGUAGAGGGGAACUGGGACUCCUUAGACCCUGAAUCUGAGGACACCUGAUCUUGGGCUCCCCAGCUCCGCAACAGUAAGGAGAAAUAAGUAAUAAAUGUUCAUUGUUCACGAGCCCCCUGGUUGGUGGUGUUUGGUGACAGCAACCUAUGUCACUCAGCUUUCGGUCACUGUGACAAGAACGCCUGAGAUGAUCAGCUGACAAGGAGGACAACUGUACUGCGCCUCAGUGCCAGAGGGCUCAGUCCAUGGUCACUUGGGCCUGUGGUGACACAGUAUGUGACAGCAGGAGCACGUGGCAGUGGAGGCUGGGAGGCAGAGACAGACAGGAAGGGGCCCACAAUGACCUAACUUCCUCUCACUCGGGCUCCCUCCUUCCCUCCUCUCCCCUUUCCUCUCCUAGGACCUAGAGCCUCAUGCAUGCUUGGCAGGAGCUCUACUAAUAAGCUACAUCCCCACAACUUUUUUUUUUUUUUGGUACUGGGCAUUGAACUCGGGUCCUUGUGCUUGCACAGCCACAACUUUUUAUUUCUUUUUUUUUUUCACCCAAGGCAAGGCUUUAUUGGGAAAGAGCUACCAGGCUGCCUCGAACAAUGGUGAGUUAAUUCACAUUUUGAGACAAGGUCAAGCUAAGAUGUCUAGGGCAGCCCCAAAAUUGAGUUCUUCCUGCUUUAGCCUCCCAAGUUGUGGCUCUCCUCCUCCUCCUCCUCCUUUUUUUUUCCUGGACUUAUUUUGGGAUCUUUCUGCCUCAGCUUCCCAGAGUACUGGGAUUACAGUCAUGCACCACAGCACCCAGAGAGCCCAUCUCUUAAAGGUCCUAAGGGCCGGGGAUUUAGCUCAGUGGUUCCGCUGCCUGCUUUGCAAGCACAAGGUCCCGAGUUCGAUCCCCGGUACCAAAAAAAAAAAAUUUAAAGCCAUUAAAGGUCCUACUACUCCAUAGGGCCACAGGCUGGCAACCAAGCCUUCAACAUGUAGGCCUUGAAAGACACUCAAGAUCUGAGCUAUAGCACAACCAAGAUUCCCUCUGAGAGAGACAGGCAUUUCUCACCUCACACAAGAGCCGCAAUGGGCACUACUGUAAAAUAGUGUGCUGCUAUGCCAGUGGUAGCCUCAUGUAUCUCAUGUUUAACUGCAUAUUUGGAUAAUCUCAAGGGGCCAUCACAGAUGACUGACGUGUACCUUCUCAGUUUGCACUUAGAAGUUGGCACACUGUGUGGUACUUGGCGAUACACAUGGAUGAAAUUGCCUAAUAACAUAUUUCUCAGAUUAUAUUUCCAUUACAUGUCACAUGACUGUAUUGAAAUUUAAAUCAAAAAACAUUUGGCCUAUGUGGAGUCUACUAGUUAAUUAGAAUUUUUUCCAGACCACUAUUUGUCCAAUAUUAGUUUUGAAAAUCUUUCUAAAAUAAAUCACAUCUUCUGAUGUCUCGUUAAUGCUUAAGAUUUUUUUUUUAAUUAUGUGGAAAAAUGUUUAAGUACUUUUCAGUUUUACUUUGGUUGAGUUCUAUUUUGAAUAUUAUUAUAGGGCUGGGGAUUUAGCUCAGUGGUUCCACCGCCUGCUUUGCAAUUGCAAGGUCCCAAGUUUGAUCCCCAGUACCAAAAGAAAAAAAAAGUUAUACAGUCUACGGCCAUACCACCCUGAAUGCGCCCGAUCUUGCCUGACUAUUAUUAUAGGGUUUUUUUCCCUUGCAUUGUUUUUCUCUGAAUAAUUUUAAUUUUUGUAUAUGUGUGUGUUUAGUAAAUGAUAAUAAAGUUAUACCAAAAAAAAAAAGAGUCACAAUGGGCACGUUGGCCCCCGCCUGUGGUUCCAGCCCCCCCAGAGGCUGAGCAGGAGGAGCUUGGGUUCUAGGCCAGCCUGGAUGACUUAGGAAAAUCCUAUCUCAAAAGGACUAGAGAUGGAGUUCAGUUGUGGGGUGCUUGUCUAGCUUGUCUUCCGUCCCCAGCACCCCACACACUCACAAAGUCUCAAGAAAGAAACAUGAGCCUGAUGUGGCUAGUCCUGAUUUCUUCAGACUAAAAAUUCUGAGGACAUGAGUUUCAGAAAGACAUUGACCUGACUUGCUGGUGGACUUGGGCUUUGUCCUGGGAGACAGAGG
rnacentral:lncRNA from 1 species